AGUUAACCUGCAUGUGCAUAUCCUUUCUCAGGAUCAUUCAUGAUAAAAUAUCACCCAUAUCAUACAUAUCAUGCACAUAUCAUUCUUGCAUUACAGACAUGCUUGGGAGAGACUUCUCACAAUUCAUGAUAAAAUAUCACCCAUAUCAUACAUAUCAUGCACAUAUCAUUCUUGCAUUACAGACAUGCUUGGGAGAGACUUCUCACUCUGGUUCCUGACUUAGACAGGAUUGCUGAUCAUCGUC
rnacentral:lncRNA from 1 species